UGUGUGAAGAUGGUAUUAUUGGCUUUAAGAUUGCUUGCAAUAAAAGUAAAUUAAUUGGUUGUUAAUUUUUAUAACAAAUUUAACUUAAAAUCUGUUCAAAAAGAGCAUUCCUCGUACCUGUAGAUAUGCUUCCUCAUGAUUUAAGGACUUAAUUGGUUGUUAAUUUUUUAAACACCAUGAGAGGGACAUGCAUGCCAGAAGAGAGAACUUACUAAUACACCAUGGCUAGCUUAUGGUUUUUUUUUGGUCAAUGCUUAUGGUUAAUUAGAAAUGAAAUUUGGAAGAAAAGAUAGCUUUUAUUUAUGUCAAUAUGUAAAUUUUCUGCUAGUCAACAAGACACGAACUUUAUACACAAGGACUAGGAGAAUAAUUAACGUUAUCUGAUUUUCCCCAAGCAAUCAAAACAUCCCAGAGGCUUGGUCUAAAUAUUUCACAUGGGUUUUGGAUAGAGAGGUAAUAGUAAAGUUGAUAGAACAUAAAGAGGAGUAUUUUUGAGAAUCAGUUUUUCAUGGCAGAUAGGGUUUUCGAUGAAGAGGUAAUAGAUUUGAUAGAACAAAAAGACACAUCAUCUCUCUUAUUCUUGAAAACCAGUUUGUCUUGGCUGAUACAGUGACAUCUGUGAUAUAUCGGCCGACAAAUCCUGUUGGACAUUCCUGGUAGUUUAUUAUUACUUCACAUACUUUAUAAUUCAACGCCCACCUUGUCCUUGGGAAUAACUGAGAAUAAUGUACGGUAAGUGGAUGAGUGUCAAACUUGCAUUUUAUCAACACCGGAGUUGCACUUUUUGAUUUCAAAUGGAAGCUGCAUUUGAAAAAUUUUCCCCGCUGUCUAAUAGAGUGAGAGGGUGUUUGUGUGCUCCAUUGUUCAAUGGAUCAGAAAGGGAAGAACACUUUGUAUACAUUUUAAAGUCACAUUCUUCUUGGUAGCGCACCGAUACAUGAAACCACAUGAUUCACGUCCACAUUUAGAACAACUGAGGAACCCGUCUUUGAUUUUCAUCAUGUUUACCUCUAGGGUUAGCGGAUGGCGGUGGAGCGAGUGUUCUCCAUCUUCCGAGGAAGACUUGCACAACUGUCAUGGAGUGCAAAAUCACAUUCUUUACAACCCAAGAAACUACCAAAGUCAAUGAGAAGGAUGCAUACUCGUCCAUCGUCCACUUCAUUAUUGACGCAAAGUCCCAUCAGGUCAUGUUGAUGACUAAAGUGGCGGCUAGUCUUGUCAUCUACCUCCACCAAUGGUGACGACGCAAUAUCUUCAGAAUUAUUAAUUCCUUCAGGUUCUCGUUCCAUAUAUUUGCCAUCCCAAAUCUCUUUACGUACGUGUUGCACAAUAUGAAUGUAGUUUAUAAUCACACGACUUGUCGAUACAAAUAUAUCCUCCACAUUCAUAAACAACCGGUUUAUCACACAUAUUCGGCAGUUUUUAAAAUCAAGAACUUGAAAAGUUUGAAACAAGCGAUGUCGGUGACUGGUGAGCUUCACGACCUUUGGUAAAUAGAUGUAGUUUCUGUGAACAAAGAAAUUGCAUUGCAAAUAUCCGUACAUAUUCAUCUUCUCCUUGUAUACCCCACAAGCAGCACAGUUGAAGGUGUUCAUUUUGCGAAUGAAGGUGAGUAUUGUGCCAAUUGCCAAAUGAGUAUUGUUAUAUCUAGCUAAUAGUCUGCCUAGUUAAGCCUUAUCUUGCAAACGUUGUCUCAAAAACUUAACACAAUGCACACGUGGCUUCAAUAGUGACUCAUUAAUCAACCCAAAUAAUUCCGGGGAUAUAUUUUAUUUUCGGUAGUACCUCGUUGCUGUAUUUAGUCUCCCAAACCUGUUCAAAUUCAUGUCAUUCAUAUUUUCAGUGACUCCAAGUCCAAGUACAUCUAGUUGUACUUGUCUCUGUACAUUUCACGAUAAGUAGGAAUCAUAACUAAGUGUGUUAUUAUAUUCAAAGCUAUAUCCUCCUUUUAACAUUUUAAUUUAUAAAUCAUAUUUAUACAAAACCCAUAUUGGUUUAUUUUGUUUACUUGUAAUCAUGGAUAUUUCAGAUUUAUAAAAUCACAUGCAGAAUUCAGAGUAAUCUUGCUUUUAUUGGUUCUAGAAUCAAGAUUUAGAAGGGAAUGGUAGGUGAGCAUGAGAUAUCAAUGCAUCUGAAUUGCUUGAUUUCGUUUGGGUGACAGGUGAGUAGGGGACGAUGACAGGUGAGCUAUGGAAUACCAGAAAUGGUUUACAUGAUUUUGAAACUUUCUCGAACUUGUCAUGGACCAAUGAAAAGUCUCCACAUGGGAACUCAACACAAGAAUCACAUAUAAUAAGUGAAAUGUAUUGAUAAUAAAGAUCCUAAUGGCAUUGCAUCUAUGACUCUAUCUUGGGGUUGUUGUUGUGCAAGCCAGCUUUGCAGCAUUAUGCUCUGUGACUCUUAAUUGUAGUUUUCCUAUGGCUUUUGACUUAAAAUCGUUGUUUGGGUUUAUUCAUUUAGUUAUUAUACAUUUCUGAUUCGAAAAAUGAUUUUGUUAACUUACAAAUGCAAGCACAUGGUCAUAGGAAUCAUAACUAAGUGUGUUAUUAUAUUCAAAGCUAUAUCCUCCUUUUAACAUUUUAAUUUAUAAAUCAUAUUUAUACAAAACCCAUAUUGGUUUAUUUUGUUUACUUGUAAUCAUGGAUAUUUCAGAUUUAUAAAAUCACAUGCAGAAUUCAGAGUAAUCUUGCUUUUAUUGGUUCUAGAAUCAAGAUUUAGAAGGGAAUGGUAGGUGAGCAUGAGAUAUCAAUGCAUCUGAAUUGCUUGAUUUCGUUUGGGUGACAGGUGAGUAGGGGACGAUGACCGGUGAGCUAUGGAAUACCAGAAAUGGUUUACAUGAUUUUGAAACUUUCUCGAACUUGUCAUGGACCAAUGAAAAGUCUCCACAUGGGAACUCAACACAAGAAUCACAUAUAAUAAGUGAAAUGUAUUGAUAAUAAAGAUCCUAAUGGCAUUGCAUCUAUGACUCUAUCUUGGGGUUGUUGUUGUGCAAGCCAGCUUUGCAGCAUUAUGCUCUGUGACUCUUAAUUGUAGUUUUCCUAUGGCUUUUGACUUAAAAUCGUUGUUUGGGUUUAUUCAUUUAGUUAUUAUACAUUUCUGAUUCGAAAAAUGAUUUUGUUAACUUACAAAUGCAAGCACAUGGUCAAGAUUUAGUGUACUGAUCAUUGAUCAAUUGGUUUCUCUCUCGUGAGUAUCAUUCUUUACUCUUAUAUACAUUAUAUUCUUAUUUUAUUUUUAAUCAGUCUCGAAUUGUUUCAGUCCAACGGUUUUGCAUUAUUGUGAUGAAGCUCCUGUGGUCAAAUGGUUAGAGAUCGUUUGGCAUUUUAGGGUAAUCAUGUAUACUUAGUGGAUAGCUGGUGUAAUUAACGGAAAAUGACGACAUAUCAAUAUUGAUUCAGCUUUGGCUAGUUAGUUGUAAAGAAGCUGAUGAUGUAGUUUUUCUUUUUACAUGUGCGUUUGCUACAACUUAAAUUAUUCUAUGUUUACAUUUGCGUUUUGUAUAUAGAACAAUUAGUUCAUCCAUUUUGUUUAUUGUGAUGAAGUGUUACUUCUUUAUCAAAAGAACGUCAAAACUUAAAACAUGUGUAUUAUAACAUAUUUAGUGUUUAGUAAGUUAGUAACCAACUACUAUAAUCUUUAGUGAUAUAUUGGGAAAAAGCAACUUUAUGGACCCGUAUAAUUAUUUGCCUUAAAGGCUAAACCAGAUCAUAAUCUCAAUAUUAAACUGGUAUAACUACUAAACAUGUUUACAUAUCUGCAUGAUUAACAUCGAUUAGCUGUAGUAUUUGUGUUUAUGCGGUCUUUAAACAAAUCAAGCCUCUUAAUUAAUUUUGGAUGUAUAUGCUCUCCUUCUAGAUCUGAUCACCUUGUGAUUUUUCAACUGAAAGGCAUGGAUUGUGCAUAUGGUCGCACCUAUUCUAACUAAGAUGUCUCAAUAAUUUAAAAUCAUGAUUAUCUUAUAAUUAUGUAAUUAUGUGUACAAUUUGAAUUUUAGUAGUAUAAAUAACUACGUGAUUGGUCUAGCUAGUGAUCAUCACCACAACUAGCACCAAGUUCCUGAUGUCUUUGUGGCUUUGUUUUUUUCGUUGCUCAAAAAGGGACACUCGUCCAUGUAAAUUUAAUAGUUCAGAAGAUCAGCGUUCCUUUCAAUUUUUCACUUUCUCUUCUAAUUAAAUCAUCUUUUUUUUUGAAUAGUAUUCUUUCCGUUCAUAAAAGAUUCAUGUUAUAGUUUUUAACACUUAUUAAAAAAGCAUUUAAAAUUGUAUUUUUCAAUACAUUAUUUUUCUUAAUUAAUUAUUCCCAAUAACUUUUAACCAAUGAGAUUUUAUUAAACACAAUUGUAAUUUUUGAAAAGUACAAUUUUUCAUUAAUUAAUAUAUUGAAAAUGUAAAAAUGUAUCUUUUUAAAACAAUUUUUUUUCUAAAAUAUAGAUCUUUAAAAAACAGGGGGAGUACUUUUAUUCAUCUUUCCUUUCCAAUAGACAGAGCUGGGCAUGUGGGCAUUGUUAUGAAAUUUUUGAACGGCCCCACCUUAGAGGGGUCCCACUUUUUUAAAAAAUCAUGUGUAUUUUUUUUUUUGGAAUUUAAAAAAAUCAUGUGUAUAUGUGAAAAUCUUAAAAAAAUAGAAAAAAAAAGAAAAAUGAAAAAGAGUAAAAGAUAAAUGUGUUCGUAGAUAUUAGUGCACACUAAUCUACAAACAAACUUCAUGUCUAUAACCCUUCAUAAAGGGAAUGGACAGCAUCUACUCACAUUUUGGGAUUGCAAUUAAACUUUUUUAAUUAAAUACUCACCGUCUAUACACACUAACAAACAAAAUGAUAUUAAUAAUAAUGUUAGUGUUUGCUUAGUUAAGUUGUAUUUAAGGUAUAAUAAAUAUAAAUACCAACUCUAAAAUAAAAAGUAAAUAUUUUUUUAGUUUAUAAAAAUGAUAAAAAUAUAUUACAUGAAUUUUAUAUUAUAACUUAGAUAUAAAUAAAUGGUAUACUAAAAAAUUAUGAAUUUAUAAAAUAAAUAUUUUUAAAAUUUAUAAAAAUAUUAGAUAGUUAAUAAAUAUGUUUUGAAUAGGGCCCCGUAAAUUUCAGAACCGGCUCUGCCAAUAGACAUGACCGGCUUAAUGGGCAGGGAAAAUAGUGUACCCACCCAGAGCCCAUCUAAGGGCUCCAUAUAUUUUAUUUUAUUUUUAUAAUAAGGGCCCAGAUUUUUAAUUUUGAUACUUUAGUGUUAAAUUUUGAUAAUAUUUUGCUGACAUAGAAAUCUAAGUUUUUAAAAUUUAAAAGUUGAAAACGAAAAAUAAAAAUUUAGUUACUUUGCUUAAAAAAUUUAAUAUUAUUUUUAAAAAUAUUUUAAUUAUAAUAUCAAAAUUAAUUAAUUAAGAGGCCUAAAAAUUAUUUUUGCCUAGAGGCACUACUUAGCCUUAAGCCGGCCCUGCCAAUAGAAUGACUGUAAUUUUCUUGGAUAAACAUUUAUAGUGUUUUGACUUCAUAUUAUUUAAACUUGCUUUGUGAUUACUUUUCUUAAUGCUAUAAGCUUGGGUUCAAGUUGUGACAUCAAGAGAUUGACCAACCAUCAAAAUGCUAAAAAGUCUGGAUAUUGUCAUCUUUCCUUUUGACUGAGACCUUAAAAUCUCAUGAUUUGUAUAAUGAUUCUAUAGCUUAGAACUAGUUUUUGUUUCUAUUAUUUUGUGAGUAAUAUACUUAUUUUUUUGUAUCUAUAAUGUCAGUAAAUUUGUGUAAUUUUAUUGGUUAAAAAUAAUAGUAGUGUUUUUUUUUACUGUUUGGCCACAUACGUUUGACUAAUACAGUAUAAGUAUAAGGCCGUUAGAACAAGCUUCAAAAGUAGAUCAACUAACCUUAUAAAGUUGGGCCUCCAGAUGAUACACAUGCACAUAUCAAAACUAUAUAUGGAAGAAAAAAACUAUAUAUAUAUGGCAAAAGACAGUAUCUUAUAAUCUUGAUAUCACAUAUAUCUGCAAAAGUAGAUGAACUAAAUAUGAAUAACAAAUAAAAAACUGUAUGACCUAGUGGAACAUUUCAUUAAUUAGGACAUAACCAUAUAUAAGUUCGGGUCCUAUAUUGAAAUUGAUAUCCAUGAUGUAACUGAUGGUGUCGAUGGAUGACAAUAAUGACUUUGUCUUAUAUGUAUUAUAUAUGUUCUACCACCUCAACACAAUAAUAGAUAGUUUGGUAUUUUUACUUAUUUAAUUAAUUUGGUUAGUUUUCACUUAGUCCAAUACUAAAUUUUCGUUAAGAAAAUAAAAAUCAAAUGUUUGAACCAGUAAACGUGUAAAAUUACGACAUCGUAUUUAUUUGGUAGAGAUGUUCUUGUUUAACUGACUCUUUCAAAACUAGUAGACGAACUUUGCAGCUUACACCUUAAUUUAACUAGCGAGAUGUCUCUAACAAAAUAAAGAAAAUAACAUAUUGACAUUUAUGAAGGUGUAAGGUAAAAUCAUAACUGCAAAGUUGGUCUACUAGUUUUGAAAGAGUCAGUUAAACAAGAACAUCUCAACCAAAUAAAAUCCGAUUGCGUAAUUUUACACGUUUACUGAUUCAAACAUUUGUUUUUUAUUUUCCUAACGAGAAUUUAAUAUUCCAUUCGUUUCAAAAUGUUACAUAUUUUAGAAGAAGAAAAAUUAGUUUUUAUAUUUUUAAUGCAUGUUUUAUUAACUAAUUACAAACUUCAAAAAACUUAAUUGCACUUAUUAGGUUUUUAUUGGCUUAAAAUUAUAGAAAAAAUAAUCACAAAAAAUUAUGCAAAUUUAAUGUGUUUUAUUAAAAUGUGUAAAAAAUUAAAAUAUGUAACAUUUUGAAACUGAAGGAGUAUUGGACUAAAGUGACUCGAUCUAAAGUGUACGGUUAAAUCUAUAAGGUAGAAGAUGUCAACUGACUUAAUAAAUUACAGUUAUGACUUUCUAACAUAAAACACAUCAAUAUCUAAAUAACUUAUAUAUGUAUAAUUAAUUUAUAUUUUAUUUGCAUAUGUAUAAAAUAAUAUGUUUUCACUACAAAAAAACAAGCAAUUUAAUGUUCUUCCCUCGAACAUGGUCAUUUUAAAAUCGUAUCUGCAUAUAUAAUAAAUGUAUAUAUUUUCAUUUAUAUAUAUCUUGUACCAUAUAUAAACACAAACAUAACAUAUUAAAAGCAAUCAAAUCAUAGAAAUGUAGUAUUUAUGAUCAAUUAUUAUAGUACUCCAUAUAAGUUGUACAUAGAUGGUUGAGUAUAUUAAAUGGUAUCCAUGCAUGUAAAGUUCACAACAAAUCUUUUUUUUUUAAUUACUCCUUGGUCUUGAUUAUCUAUAAAUAUAAUAAUAAUUAAUAUAAUUUUUUUUUAUUAAUUAUGAUAGCUAAAAUAGUAUAUAUAUUGUAAAAUCUUAUAAAAUAAUACUCCUUUCAUUUUAAUGUAUGAUGUCUUAUACAGUUUUUGAUGUUUCAGUAUGUAAGAUGUAUUUAUUUUUAGGUAACUUUUAAUUUUAUUAAAAACCGUGUAACCAAUAGUAUUUUAUUCAUUAUUAUGUAAUUUUUUGGAUAGUUUAUUUUAUUUUUAAUGAUACUUUAGACAAAAAAUAAUUUUCUUCACUGUUGUGCAUAUGUUAAAAACAUCAUAUAUGUUGGAACCGUUCAUUUCCUCCAUUUAAAAUUAAAUAUCGUUUAAAGUCUUUGCACAUAUUAUAAAUAGUUACAUGUUUAGUUUUGUCAUCUUUAAUUAUUAAAUUUUAUCAUAUUUUAAAUUGAUAAAAUUUAAUUAGAAUUAAAAGAGAUAAAUUAAUGUAAAAUAUUGCAUUAAAGUCAAAAAUAAAAUUUAUUUUGUAACAAAAACUUUAUUAUACAAUGAUCCUUAAUUUAAAGCAGAGAGUAUUAUUUAUUAAUCAUGAGAUUUAGUCUAUUAUAGUAAAUAUAUUUAGUAUAUUAUUAUAAUUUUGUAAAAGUUUAAACCGCAUAAAUUUUCAAUUAAUUAUUAUAGACAUUAGACGUUGGGUCAUAGUCUAGUUAGCACUUAAAGUUUCCUUGAAUACUGAAAAAAAUUUCAUUAUCAGAUUCCACUUUUACCGGUGACGUUUUUCAAACCCAAAUAUUUGUAAUAUCCAGUCCACACGCUGUGACAGAAGAGCAAGUAGAGACUGUAGACAAGUUUUUGGAAUGAAUCAGUCAACUCUGACUAUAAAUCCAGCAAAGGUCAGCAAAUGAAAAAGUGACCGUAUUGUCAUCUUUCCUUUUGACUGAGACCUUAAAAUCUCAUGAUUUGUAUAAUGAUUCUAUAGCUUAGAACUAGUUUUUGUUUCUAUUAUUUUGUGAGUAAUAUACUUAUUUUUUUGUAUCUAUAAUGUCAGUAAAUUUGUGUAAUUUUAUUGGUUAAAAAUAAUAGUAGUGUUUUUUUUUACUGUUUGGCCACAUACGUUUGACUAAUACAGUAUAAGUAUAAGGCCGUUAGAACAAGCUUCAAAAGUAGAUCAACUAACCUUAUAAAGUUGGGCCUCCAGAUGAUACACAUGCACAUAUCAAAACUAUAUAUGGAAGAAAAAAACUAUAUAUAUAUGGCAAAAGACAGUAUCUUAUAAUCUUGAUAUCACAUAUAUCUGCAAAAGUAGAUGAACUAAAUAUGAAUAACAAAUAAAAAACUGUAUGACCUAGUGGAACAUUUCAUUAAUUAGGACAUAACCAUAUAUAAGUUCGGGUCCUAUAUUGAAAUUGAUAUCCAUGAUGUAACUGAUGGUGUCGAUGGAUGACAAUAAUGACUUUGUCUUAUAUGUAUUAUAUAUGUUCUACCACCUCAACACAAUAAUAGAUAGUUUGGUAUUUUUACUUAUUUAAUUAAUUUGGUUAGUUUUCACUUAGUCCAAUACUAAAUUUUCGUUAAGAAAAUAAAAAUCAAAUGUUUGAACCAGUAAACGUGUAAAAUUACGACAUCGUAUUUAUUUGGUAGAGAUGUUCUUGUUUAACUGACUCUUUCAAAACUAGUAGACGAACUUUGCAGCUUACACCUUAAUUUAACUAGCGAGAUGUCUCUAACAAAAUAAAGAAAAUAACAUAUUGACAUUUAUGAAGGUGUAAGGUAAAAUCAUAACUGCAAAGUUGGUCUACUAGUUUUGAAAGAGUCAGUUAAACAAGAACAUCUCAACCAAAUAAAAUCCGAUUGCGUAAUUUUACACGUUUACUGAUUCAAACAUUUGUUUUUUAUUUUCCUAACGAGAAUUUAAUAUUCCAUUCGUUUCAAAAUGUUACAUAUUUUAGAAGAAGAAAAAUUAGUUUUUAUAUUUUUAAUGCAUGUUUUAUUAACUAAUUACAAACUUCAAAAAACUUAAUUGCACUUAUUAGGUUUUUAUUGGCUUAAAAUUAUAGAAAAAAUAAUCACAAAAAAUUAUGCAAAUUUAAUGUGUUUUAUUAAAAUGUGUAAAAAAUUAAAAUAUGUAACAUUUUGAAACUGAAGGAGUAUUGGACUAAAGUGACUCGAUCUAAAGUGUACGGUUAAAUCUAUAAGGUAGAAGAUGUCAACUGACUUAAUAAAUUACAGUUAUGACUUUCUAACAUAAAACACAUCAAUAUCUAAAUAACUUAUAUAUGUAUAAUUAAUUUAUAUUUUAUUUGCAUAUGUAUAAAAUAAUAUGUUUUCACUACAAAAAAACAAGCAAUUUAAUGUUCUUCCCUCGAACAUGGUCAUUUUAAAAUCGUAUCUGCAUAUAUAAUAAAUGUAUAUAUUUUCAUUUAUAUAUAUCUUGUACCAUAUAUAAACACAAACAUAACAUAUUAAAAGCAAUCAAAUCAUAGAAAUGUAGUAUUUAUGAUCAAUUAUUAUAGUACUCCAUAUAAGUUGUACAUAGAUGGUUGAGUAUAUUAAAUGGUAUCCAUGCAUGUAAAGUUCACAACAAAUCUUUUUUUUUUAAUUACUCCUUGGUCUUGAUUAUCUAUAAAUAUAAUAAUAAUUAAUAUAAUUUUUUUUUAUUAAUUAUGAUAGCUAAAAUAGUAUAUAUAUUGUAAAAUCUUAUAAAAUAAUACUCCUUUCAUUUUAAUGUAUGAUGUCUUAUACAGUUUUUGAUGUUUCAGUAUGUAAGAUGUAUUUAUUUUUAGGUAACUUUUAAUUUUAUUAAAAACCGUGUAACCAAUAGUAUUUUAUUCAUUAUUAUGUAAUUUUUUGGAUAGUUUAUUUUAUUUUUAAUGAUACUUUAGACAAAAAAUAAUUUUCUUCACUGUUGUGCAUAUGUUAAAAACAUCAUAUAUGUUGGAACCGUUCAUUUCCUCCAUUUAAAAUUAAAUAUCGUUUAAAGUCUUUGCACAUAUUAUAAAUAGUUACAUGUUUAGUUUUGUCAUCUUUAAUUAUUAAAUUUUAUCAUAUUUUAAAUUGAUAAAAUUUAAUUAGAAUUAAAAGAGAUAAAUUAAUGUAAAAUAUUGCAUUAAAGUCAAAAAUAAAAUUUAUUUUGUAACAAAAACUUUAUUAUACAAUGAUCCUUAAUUUAAAGCAGAGAGUAUUAUUUAUUAAUCAUGAGAUUUAGUCUAUUAUAGUAAAUAUAUUUAGUAUAUUAUUAUAAUUUUGUAAAAGUUUAAACCGCAUAAAUUUUCAAUUAAUUAUUAUAGACAUUAGACGUUGGGUCAUAGUCUAGUUAGCACUUAAAGUUUCCUUGAAUACUGAAAAAAAUUUCAUUAUCAGAUUCCACUUUUACCGGUGACGUUUUUCAAACCCAAAUAUUUGUAAUAUCCAGUCCACACGCUGUGACAGAAGAGCAAGUAGAGACUGUAGACAAGUUUUUGGAAUGAAUCAGUCAACUCUGACUAUAAAUCCAGCAAAGGUCAGCAAAUGAAAAAGUGACCGUACUCUCUCGGGAAAUGGUGAGCAAUAAUAGAGUACGAGUCUAUGAGACGGUGCACCGAAGCGUACGUGGUUCGCUUCACUCUUACUUGUCGUCGCGUCGGUGCACUUUACUCUUUUUCACUGACACCAACCCCGCGUCUUCUUUUGGAGUCUGCUUGCAUAUCUUUUUUUUUCUUGAUAAUAAAUUUCGAAUAAACAUGAUUUUAAUUUUUACCUUUACAGAAUCCUCUCUAGCAGUUUGACAAAAAGAGAAUCCUCUCUAGCAUUAUUCAUCAUUGUGCUUCUUAGCUGGCUAUCGGCUGUUACGCUAUCACUCUCUCAUCCUUUGACUUUAUUUCUUGCUACUACGUAACCAAUUACUACCAAAUACUAACCAUUUACAAGUAUCAGUUAACAACGGUAUUUAGCUUUUAAACUGUCUAUCGGUGUUAUUUACAAUUUGAGUCUGAGUUUUUCACAUAUUGGACAAUUCUCUGAUUUGUGCAUGUCAUUCUUGCUAAUUUUCUCUCUAUCUUUCUAAUUUUAUCAGAUGUCCUCAAAAUGACUUUCCAUAAGUUUUUAACUUUGGCAAAUGAUUUCAAUAGUUGAAAAAUUAGCGAACUUUUUUUUUUUUUUUUUUUUUUUUUAAAAGAGUCUGAUUUCCAUUGAUUUCUCCCAAAAGGGGUUUUACAACAGAACAUUACAACUCAAAAUUGAGUAAAAUUGGUACAACCAUGCUUUGUAGUUACGAAUCCGAAAGACGACACAGUCGGAUUGUGGCUAGCAACCCCGGGCCAGACAUCAACUUCACCACUUAGCUUGUUAAUCCAGGUUUGGUGCUUUCGCAACCAACCUCGCCUUCUUGCUGUAAUGCUGUCACUGUGAAGCUCGCAAUGGAGGAAGGGAUUAGGGUCAUACCGAAGAGCCAAAUCCCGCUAAAAGUGGGUUUGCUGAGGAAGCUGUCAUGUCAAGAUGGGAGAGUACCUGCAUUAAAAGAAAAGGUUUCAUCCUGGCGAAGCAGCCAUAAGACCGCUACACCACUGGAAUGGAUGAACACCAAAAUACGCCACAACCGAGGAACUGACGGCUCCGACGACUCGCGAAGCAAGACCAGACUCCACACGUAUUCUUACCCUAAGAACUAGAGUAAGUUCUUUACUGAAGCAGAGAGAAGAAGACUCCGUCGGAAGGAAACAGAGCCAAACACCACUUGAAGACCAAUACUCGAACCAAGACACCGGGUGAUGCGCAAAACCCGGAGGAGGAACACCAUUUGACAGGACCGCAGGAGAAGCAAGACAAAGACCGGGAGAAGAGAUGGAAAUCCAACGCCUGAGAACCAUUCCCCGAACGCCGGAGCAGACCAUAUCCUCGCACGCGACAGAGGGAUUUGUCAAGUGACACCGCCACCAGAAAAUACACCACCGCACGUCUUGGAGAAGAAGCGCCAAGCCCACCUUGAGAGCAGAGAGAAGGUGUGCUCCCGCCGAGACACCAAGGCUAGGGAGAAAAAAACCUUCGACUGCUACACCUCACCAAGCUGGAAUCAGAAAGAUCCGGGCCGGAAGAGUCAAUACCACUACCCACACGCCACCACCGCCGAAGGCUACGACCAGAUCUAAAAAGGAAAAAGUAGAUCUGGCGAGACUCCACUGCAAAAGCCGACUCCAGUCAUCUUGCAACCCUCUCCGCCUCGUCUCAGCUCCAGAUCGGGCCUUAGCCACCGGAUCUAUAACCCCCCGGGAGGAUCUAGGAUUCCGAUUUCAAAGCCGUACCAGAGAGUUGACAUGUCGAAAGAGAGGAGAGACAAGGGGAUGAAGCAAAAUAAAAACGAGAUGUAGGAGAAGAAGCGCCUCCGACGCCCGGAGCUAACGCACACCGACGAAACACCGGUGUCUCCGAACGUCGGAGCAAGGAGGAGGAAACUUUGUCGGGGUUUCUUUUUCUAGAGAUGGAAGGGAGAGAAGAGAGAGAAAGAGCACGCCAUGAUUUUUAUCUUAGC
rnacentral:lncRNA from 1 species